rfam:Bat coronavirus HKT5-2, complete genome.
GAUUUAAGAGAAUAGCCUAGCUAUCCCUCUCUCUCGUUCUCUUGCAGAACUUUGUUUUUAACGAACUUAAAUAAUAGCCCUGCUGGUUUGCGUGUGCGAUACCUUUCUGCUGCGUCAUAGGCGCCGGAUUGGAAAGCGCAUGUACACCACUGGGUACAAUUAAAACUGAAUAAUAUUUUUCAGUUAGAGCAUCGUGUCUCAAGUGCUUCACGGUCACAAUAUACCGUUUCGUCGGGUGCGUGGCAAUUCGGUGCACAUCAUGUCUUUCGUGGCUGGUGUGGCUCCUCAAGGUGCGAGGGGCAAGUAUAGAGCAGAGCUCAACACUGAAAA